CGGGCGUCUUAACAUGCAAGUCGAACGGUAAGGGAGAGCUUGCUCUCCCCUAGAGUGGCGGACUGGUGAGUAACGCGUGGGUGACCUGCCCUGAAGAUGGGGAUAGCUAGUAGAAAUAUUAGAUAAUACCGAAUGUGCUCAUUUACAUAAAGGUAAAUGAGGAAAGGAGCUACGGCUCCGCUUCAGGAUGGGCCCGCGUCCCAUUAGCUGGUUGGUGAGGUAAAGGCCCACCAAGGCAACGAUGGGUAUCCGGCCUGAGAGGGUGAACGGACACAUUGGGACUGAGAUACGGCCCAAACUCCUACGGGAGGCAGCAGCUAAGAAUCUUCCGCAAUGGACGAAAGUCUGACGGAGCGACGCCGUGUGAAUGAAGAAGGCCGAAAGGUUGUAAAAUUCUUUUGCAGAUGAAGAAUAAGAAGAAGAGGGAAUGCUUCUUUGAUGACGGUAGUCAUGCGAAUUAAGCCCGGCAU
rnacentral:rRNA from 1 species